rnacentral:rRNA from 1 species
GUGGACGAACCUCUGGUGUUCCGGUUGUCACGCCAGUGGCAUUGCCGGGUAGCUAUGUUCGGAAAAGAUAACCGCUGAAAGCAUCUAAGCGGGAAACUUGCCUCAAGAUGAGAUCUCACUGGGAACUUGAUUCCCCUGAAGGGCCGUCGAAGACUACGACGUUGAUAGGCUGGGUGUGUAAGCGUUGUGAGGCGUUGAGCUAACCAGUACUAAUUGCCCGUGAGGCUUGACCAUAUAACACCCAAACA